rnacentral:rRNA from 1 species
CGCUUAACCUUCGGGAGGGCGCUUACCACUUUGUGAUUCAUGACUGGGGUGAAGUCGUAACAAGGUAACCGUAGGGGAACCUGCGGUUGGAUCACCUCCUUA